UGCUGAUACUCAGAAUGGAACCAAGAAAGAAGAUCUUACUGACAAAGAGAAGAAGGAGGAGGAAGAGAUGCCUGCACCCGUGUAUAAAGUCAAAUCAAUCCUCGAGAGUUGGGUGUGGGGCAAGCAACCAGGAUGGGCCUCCGCCAGGCUUAGGCCGUGUAAUUGGUGAGCUGGGAGAGGAUGGCUGGAUCAGGGUCCAGUGGGACACGGGCAGCACUAACUCAUACAGGAUGGGUAAAGAAGGAAAGUAUGACCUCAAGCUGGUGGAGUUGCCAGUGUCAUCACAGCCCUCUGCAGAGGAUUCAGACACAGAAGAUGACUCAGAAGCUGAACCAGGAGACAGGAGCAUCCACCCCACAGCGAUGAUGCUGACCAGCAUUAUUAACUUACUGCAGACUCUGUGUCUGUCCGUCGGUGUCCACGCUGAUGUCAUGCAGAGCGAGGCCACCAAGACUUUGUGUGGACGGCUGAGAAUGGAGGUGGAAAGCGGAACAACAGAUGAGCUAUCUCCUCCAGACAGACUGGUGUGCAGGGAGCAGCACCGGAGCUGGUGUACACUGGGCUUCGUCCGGAGCAUCGCACUUAGCCCACAGGCCUGUGGGGCCCUCAGCUCCCCAAAGUGGAUCACGCUGCUCAUGAAGAUUGUGGAGGGGCAUGCGCCCUUCACUGCCGCCUCCCUGCAGAGGCAGAUCUUAGCUGUCCGUUUACUACAAGCAGUUCUUCCGUCAUGGGACAAGACGGAAAGGGCACGGGACAUGAAGUGUCUGGUGGAAAAGCUGUUUGGCUUCCUGGGCAGCUUGCUCACUACUUGUUCUUCUGAUGUCCCAUUCCUUAGAGAAUCCACAUUGAGGAAGCGGAGGGCACGACCGCAGGCUUCCUUGACUGCCACUCACAGCAGCACUCUGGCUGAGGAGGUGGUGGGGCUGCUCCGCACUCUGCACUCGCUCACCCAGUGGAACGGCCUCAUCAACAAAUACAUUAACUCCCAGCUCUGCUCCGUCACACACAGCUGCUCUGGGAAGACUCCAGAAAGGGCCCUGCUGGAGGACUACUUCCCAGACUCUGAGAACCUGGAAGUGGGGGGCCUCAGGGCAGUGCUGGCUGUGAUUGGAGGGAUCGAUGGCCGGCUGCGCCUGGGAAGCCAGGUCAUGCAUGAUGAGUUUGGAGAGGGCACAGUGACUCGCAUCACCCCGAAGGGCAGAAUCACUGUGCAGUUCUGUGACAUGCGCAUGUGCCGAGUUUGCCCGUUGAAUCAGCUCAAACCGACAGGGUUUCUUCAUCAGCAACUCUUUGAAGGAUUUUGUGCCCUUUCUUCAGCUCCCUGCUGUGGCCUUUAGCCUAAACAACCUGCCUUUCAUGGAGCCUAUGCUUUCUGUCUGGGCUGAGUUGGUGAACCUUGCUGGAAGCAAAUUGGAAAAGCACAAAACAAAGAAAUCAGCAAAACAGGCCUUUGCAGGACAAGUAGACUUGGACCUGCUACGCAGCCAGCAGCUGAAGCUGUACAUCCUGAAAGCAGGGCGGGCGCUGCUUUCCCACCAAGACAAACUAAGACAGUAUCUACUGUCUCAGCCCGGGACUCUACAUGCAG